CACAUAACAAACUCCAGCACGAUUCGKAAUUUAACYUUACUAAGUGUGGAAGUGACUUUAUUGGUUCAAUUAAACCUGUGGUUUGUUUUUGAUUUUAGAAUGAAGACGACGGUUUCUUUGUCUCGAACAUGGAUAAAAUGAUUGCCAAAUAUCAUGAGUGGCAUGAUCACCUACCAGACAUCAAACCAUUCUACGCUGUCAAGUGUAAUGAUGAUCCUAUUUUGAUAAGGCUUCUUCACAAGCUUGGAACCGGCUUUGACUGUGCCAGCAGG